AUUCUACUCCCUCCGUUGCACAAUGCAUGGCUUCUAUUUGUCAAAAUAUAUAUGUAUCUAGACAUGUUUUAGUAUAUAGGUACAUCCAUUUUUGGACAAAUGGAAGUCAAGUAUUUUGGAACGGAGGGAGUACACA
rfam:Triticum aestivum genome assembly, contig: Triticum_aestivum_CS42_TGACv1_scaffold_517510_6BS